AGUGCCCCUUAGAUUGGCACAUUUUGCAAUGACAAUUAUAAACCACCUUAAACCUUCUAUAAAGACACUACACACCAAAACCCAAACCCCCCAUAAGUGGAGCCCCUGAUGAGUCUACCCAUUGCCUGCACGUGACACGUUCAAAGACCAUCUGUUAAUUGUGGUGUGUACCUAUAGUCUGCACGUGAGGUGUUUAAGAGACAUCUGUAUAUUGUAAUGUCUACUGAUAGUCUGCAUGUGAGGCAAAUUAAAAUGAGUCAUUAUUUUACUGUUUGCCUUGGUUUUCUCAUCCAAAUAAGUUUGGCUUAGCUGAGGGUUUGUGAAAAACUAACGCCAGACCACAGCUGGAUUUCUGAAGCUGAUACGUAUCAAUGGUGUAAUUGGGUUAAAAAAAUCUUAUUACAAUGGCAGGAACAACCUAGGGAUCCUUUAAUUUGUAACCAUGAAAAUAAGAACUUGGUGACAUUUUCCAGUUGAAAAAUAAACUUAGAUUAACUCAAACAAAAAAACUUUGGCAUUUCUGCACUGAAAUUUCUUGUUACAUAUACAGUCCAAAUACAUACUUAUACUUUUGUUUCCUUUGGUGGCUAAAACUGCUGCUAAAGCAACAUAAAGUCAAAGCUUGAGAGCAUCCCCCUAACACCAGAUGACGCCUUCCAUUUCCGGACACUGGAACUUUUCCUCCUUUUGUUUCCAUCAACUGGAUUACUGACACUCAUUCGCCCCAAAAAAAUCAAUGGAACAAAACAUGGCCUCCACCAGAGCAGGGCACUCACAGGAUCCAGAAGAGCUGGAGCACAUUUCCACCAUCUUGGCCUCUCUGCUCUGGUUACCUGUGGCCUUUAAAAUUGAUUUUAAGGUUUUACGGCUUGUUUUUGAGCAGGUCUUGCCUCGGGCUGCAGACAGAGGGCUAGUGGGUCGUUUUUGACGUCACGCAUCAAAAGCAACUGGGAGCAUCUUCUGCUGGAGAUCAGAGGAAAAGCCUUUUUGCAAACUCCAUCAGCUUUUAUUAAGUUUCUACAAGUGUAAUGACAUAGAUUUACUCAAGUACUGCACGUAACUUGAUAUUUGAGGUACUUGGACUUGAGUAUUUCUCAUUUUUACCACUUAUACUGCUCCACUACAGCUCCAAUUACACUGCAAAUUAAGAUUUUACAUAUGAUGAGCUUAUAAAUGAUGCAUUGUUACAGAUUAAACUAUAUAUAAGGCAGUAAAAGUAGCUCCACUUCCACCAAGAACAGCAAAAUGCUGUUUAGCACGACUAGAGGUCCGGAGGGAACCAUUAAAGCUGCACUACUCAAUAUCCUUAUAUUAACAAUGGAUCAAAAGACAAUGUGUAACAUGAAAUGUACCACUCAUAGUAUCAAACCCACACACUAAAUCACUCCUGCAUCACUCUGAUGCAAUUACAGAGACCCAGCAGGUCAGGAAGUGAGAUCACACAUCCAUCUUUCUAUUACCAAAAGAGAGGGUAAAAUGAGCACUUCAGCAAGUCCUGAUACCAAUCACAAAGUACAGCAGAGUCACUGGAGGAAGGAGCUAAUAAAGGAAAGGACGACAAAGGAUCAUUAACAGCCUUCAGGAUCAGGAAGGACACGUCACAGAUCCCAGAUCCUCCAUCCUGAGACCACCAACUCUGAAGUUUCCUGCAGACAGCAGCACCUGUGACCAGUUGUCCAGGACCUAAUGGGUUACAACCAGGAGGCCUCACUGGAACAUUUUGGCGAAGAAGCUGAAACAGUGGCCAUAGUUCACAAACUCAUCAGAGCGCAGCAUCUUCCCAAAGCAAACAAAGUGACAGGACACAUACCUCUGCAGCAGGAACUUAGAGACCUGCAUCUAUGACACACGGCAGGAGCAAGAGGAAGCCAUGAAGCUAACAGCUGUAUGAAACAUCGCCUGACUCUGAUGUAGCCCCUCAUCAGCUCCUUGUUUCCUAUCAAUCAAAGAGCAGCGAGGGGGGAAUUGUUUCCCAGAGUUCCCCACCACACUGUCAUAUUAACUAUGCUGCAUCCUUUUAUAUAUAAACCUGCUCUUAUGAGAAAAUAUACACACUCCCUGUGAGGGUGAAGGAAGGCCAAAUACCAAAUUCAGACCACUGGUGCUAAAGCUGUGAACUACAUUUCCCAUGUAUGUUUGCAUGACAAAGCACAGACAUGCACAGAGCCUUCUUCUCACAAUAUAACCAUGGAGCAGAGCCUCCACCUUUGUAGCCACUUCGCAUUAUGAACAAAACCAGCCACGCCCAAUGGCAGCUGCUGCAAUUCCCACAAGGAGUCACUGUGUUACCAGUCCGUCAGCACAGAGAAGGAAUAUUGCUGUGACUUCCUGGUUUGUGAGGAGUGCUCAUAUGAUUGUAUGUCAGGACAAAGUAAACAUAAAACUAUUUUGGUCCCUAUAGCUAAUUUCCUCUAUUUAUUUGAGUUAGGUGCGGUAUCAGGUGCUGCCAAGAUGGCAACAGUGAAGCAGCUCACUCUGAGCUUCAAAACCGUGAA